rnacentral:rRNA from 1 species
AUUGAACGCUGGCGGCAGGCCUAACACAUGCAAGUCGAGCGGAUGAAGGGAGCUUGCUCCCUGAUUUAGCGGCGGACGGGUGAGUAAUGCCUAGGAAUCUGCCUGGUAGUGGGGGACAACGUUUCGAAAGGAAUGCUAAUACCGCAUACGUCCUACGGGAGAAAGUGGGGGAUCUUCGGACCUCACGCUAUCAGAUGAGCCUAGGUCGGAUUAGCUAGUUGGUGAGGUAAAGGCUCACCAAGGCGACGAUCCGUAACUGGUCUGAGAGGAUGAUCAGUCACACUGGAACUGAGACACGGUCCAGACUCCUACGGGAGGCAGCAGUGGGGAAUAUUGGACAAUGGGCGAAAGCCUGAUCCAGCCAUGCCGCGUGUGUGAAGAAGGUCUUCGGAUUGUAAAGCACUUUAAGUUGGGAGGAAGGGCAGUAAGUUAAUACCUUGCUGUUUUGACGUUACCAACAGAAUAAGCACCGGCUAACUUCGUGCCAGCCGCCGCGGUAAGAC